UAAAAUUUAUAAAAUUAAGUAGUAAAGAAUUUUCCGAAACUUAAAGAAUUUGGCGGUAUUUUAGAUAAUUGGAGGAACCUGUUAUAUAAUUGACAAUACACAACAUAUCUUUCCUAAUUUUUGUUUGUAUAUCGUUGUUUUUAGAUAAUAUUUAAAAAUUAUUAUCAAAGAUAAAUUAUUUUUAUAAAUCAGAUCAAGGUGCAGCAUAUUUGGGUAUUAAUGGGUUACAAUAUAUUUUAUAUAUUACGAAUAAAUAUUGAAAAUAUAGUGAAGGUGGAUUCAAAAGUAAUUUGAAAUUAUAAUGUUCAUUUGAUUUAUAAUCUAAAAUAUGC
rnacentral:rRNA from 1 species